CGUCCCAUACACCUUUAUCAAUCGAGUUAAUAUGGAUAUAGAUACAAGCUUUUCAAUAACUAUAAUUUUCGCUGGUGAAAAUUGGUGCUCUAUUGAAAGCCCUUUUAGGUUCGUUAGCCAUUUUCUAAUAAGCAAAUAUUUAAGCACGAAAUUUAUCAUAGCUUGUGAUACCGCUUGUUAGACGAUACACUUAGAUCUAGAGGAGAGGGGGAGGGGGGGUGAAUAUAUCAAUAGUUAAAAAAUUUGACAAAAAAAAAAUUGAAAAAUUU
rnacentral:lncRNA from 1 species